rnacentral:lncRNA from 1 species
GGAGGCAUUUGGUGGGUUUUGAGUGAAAUACAAUACACCAACCACUCCAUUUCAGAACGAACUUCCUGCGAACCUGAAUUGUCAACUUUCGUGGACCGAUCGAUAUCAGAUUGAGUCCAAAAGUUGGGGAACGUCAUAAUAUUGUGGGAGGAGUCAUUUGGGGGGUUUUGAGUGAAAUCCAAUCUCUAGAACUAUACAAUACACCAACCACCCCAUUUCAGAACGAACUUCGUAAGAACCUAAAUUGUCCAAUUUCAAGGGCCAAUCGAUAUCGGAUUG